rnacentral:lncRNA from 1 species
AUUCCUUGCUUCUCUGCAGUGGAACUCCAAUAGGUUUACCUCACCAAUAUCUGCCAGUAGUUUCUCGCGGCACUACUACCUUCUGAUCACAUCUGAAGCGAUGAGCACUAGGAGCAGCGAUGAUUCUAAAUGUUCGAUGGGGGAGAUAUCCGACGAUGAUAUCGAAGAAUACAUUGAGGAUUUCAUCGAAGGAUUCAUUACAUCUGGACUUGUACGACCGCAAAAGGGCACCACGUCGCGUGCCCCUACUGACUGGCCAACAGUGGGUGAUGCGUACAUUACAAAAUAUUGCUCGGUGCAGGAGCAUGGGGUGAAGCUAAUAGGAGAGCAAACAAUAGGUUCGAAAGAUCGGGUCAACUAUUUCCAAAUAUUUUUACCAUUGCUUCGAGCGAUAGCCCGUAUGGCAGGUGAUAUAGUUCGGCCGGUGGACCCAACUUCCAGUACUACCCAUCCAUGUGUCCGCUAUAAUGAUAGGUAA